CAGAAACCAAGAUGGCCGCCAGCACAUGUCAAACGAAGGAGAACAGUAAGAAGAUGGAUCCAGUCAGAGAAAUCCACCAGAGAGAUGUCCCAGUCCUCAGUAUUCCCAGGACUGUCCAGAGGAGAAACCAAAUAUCCCACUGGAUCAUCAGGAGAUUUCUGGUAGAAC